rnacentral:rRNA from 1 species
GAUGAACGCUAGCGGCAGGCUUAACACAUGCAAGUCGAGGGGUAGAAGUCUUCGGGCUUUGAGACCGGCGCACGGGUGCGUAACGCGUAUGCAAUCUGCCUUGUACAAAGGGAUAGCCCAGAGAAAUUUGGAUUAAUACCUUAUAGUAUACUGAUGUGGCAUCACAUUAAUAUUAAAGAUUUAUCGGUACAAGAUGAGCAUGCGUCCCAUUAGCUAGUUGGUAUGGUAACGGCAUACCAAGGCAAUGAUGGGUAGGGGUCCUGAGAGGGAGAUCCCCCACACUGGAACUGAGACACGGACCAGACUCCUACGGGAGGCAGCAGUGAGGAAUAUUGGUCAAUGGGCGCAAGCCUGAACCAGCCAUGCCGCGUGCAGGAUGACGGUCCUAUGGAUUGUAAACUGCUUUUGUACGGGAAGAAACACCUUUACGUGUAGAGGCUUGACGGUACCGUAAGAAUAAGGAUCGGCUAACUCCGUGCCAGCAGCCGCAGUAAAAC